rnacentral:snRNA from 15 species
AUCCUUAUGCACGGGAAAUACGCAUAUCAGUGAGGAUUCGUCCGAGAUUGUGUUAUUGCUGGUUGAAAUUUAUUUUUAACCAUGACCUCCUCCUCAUAACGUAUUGUGUCUUUCAUUUUACACAUGUGUUAUGCAGGGAAUUUUUGGAACCUACCUUUUUUUCCUUCUUCAAGAAG